rnacentral:rRNA from 1 species
GGGGCCCGCACAAGCGGUGGAGUAUGUGGUUAAUUCGAUGCAACGCGAAGAACCUUACCUGGUCUUGACAUCCCGGAGACCCUUAGGAAACUAGGGGGUGCUUCCAUCUGGAAGAAUCUGGAGACAGGUGCUGCAUGGCUGUCGUCAGCCCGUGUCGUGAGAUGUUGGGUUAAGUCCCGCAACGAGCGCAACCCUUGCCUUUAGUUGCCAGCAGUUCGGCUGGGCACUCUAAAGGGACUGCCGGUGUUAAACCGGAGGAAGGUGGGGAUGACGUCAAGUCCUCAUGGCCUUUAUGACCAGGGCUACACACGUACUACAAUGGCCGAUACAAAGGGCAGCGACACUGCGAGGUGAAGCCAAUCCCGUAAAAUCGGUCUCAGUCCGGAUUGGAGUCUGCAACUCGACUCCAUGAAGUUGGAAUCGCUAGUAAUCGUGGAUCAGCAUGCCACGGUGAAUACGUUCCCGGGCCUU